ACUUAACACAAACUAUUAAUCAGAGCGAAUCGUUUCAGAGAAAGAGCUAAAAAUCAAAUCUAGUAUCUGCAAUUUUAUGAAGAUCACAAGAAGGGAUCUCGUGCCGGACGGCCCCGGUAGCGUUAAGAUCACGCCAGUCGAUUCAGAUGAUCUCUGGUUCGCUUAUAAUUUGAUAUCUUCUGGAGAUACGGUUAUGGCGGAUACUGUCAGGAAAGUUUUAAGAGAGGCGGCGUCCGGUGGGAGAGAUGCAGAAAGAGUGAAGCUGAAGUUGGAAAUAAAAGUAGAGGCUAUAGAUUAUGAUAAAGUAGGGUCUGCCUUGCGAAUUCGUGGAAAGAAUAUUUUGGAGAAUGAAUAUGUAAAGAUUGGAGCAUUUCAUACUUUAGAGUUAGAGCUGCAUCGACCUUUUGUCUUGAGGAAGGAAAUUUGGGACUCAUUGGCAUUAGAUGUACUCAAUCGAGCCUCUGAUCCUGGUGCAAGUGCUGAUCUUGCUGUGGUUUUAAUGCAAGAAGGACUAGCACACAUCUUCCUUGUUGGUAAAAGCAUGACAACUACUCGGUCAAGGAUAGAGACUUCAAUUCCUCGAAAGCAUGGGCCUGCCAUUGCUGGUUAUGAGUCGGCAUUGAAUAAGUUCUUUGAGCAUGUUUUACAGGCUUUCCUAAAACAUAUUGAUUUCAAUGUUAUUCGGUGUGCUGUGAUUGCAAGCCCUGGUUUCACUAAGGAUCAGUUUCAUCGUCACUUAUUGUUGGAGGCAGAGAGGAGACAGCUGAGACCCAUUAUUGAGAACAAGUCGCGCAUAGUUCUUGUGCAUACAAGCUCAGGAUAUAGGCAUAGCUUGAGAGAGGUUCUUGAUGCCUCAAAUGUUAUGAACAUGAUUAAAGACACUAAGGCAGCUCAAGAGGUUCGAGCACUUCAGGAUUUCUUUAACAUGCUUUCAAAUGAUCGAGGAUGUUAUGGACCAAAGCAUGUAGAGGUUGCCCAUGAACGCAUGGCUGUCCAAACUCUUCUUAUGACGGAUGAUCUCUUCAGAAAUGCUGAUAUACCAACGAGGCAAAAGUAUGUCAAUUUAGUCAGCUCAGUGAAGGAUUCAGCGGGCGCUGGUCAUAUAUUCUCAUCGAUGCACAUCUCAGGAGAGCGAAACAGAAUUGGCGCAAUUGACUGGCAUUGCUGUGAUCCUUCGAUUUCCUUUACCAGACCUCGACGAUAUUGAGAUGUAAUGCAGAGCUUUCGUAGGGACGGGACAAGGAUGACAUGUGGAAGCAUUGGUCUGUAUACUAGGCUUGCCCGUUGGCAUCAGCAUGGUGUACAAUAUGUUCAACAUUAUUUAGAGUUGCAUUAAUUUUUACACCCAAUGCAGAAAUAGACUGCCUUGAUGAAAUUUUAGGUAGAUUAGUUCAGUAGUAAACUGAGGCAUCUGUGUGGGUAGAAUAUAAAUUGUGGUUCCACUACACAACCUGUAUAGCUGUCCCUAUUGUACUGAAUUGUCUUACUAGUCUAUAGAGUCAUUGUAAUUCCUGGAUUCUUCAUUAUAAAUAUACAGGAGUGAUGGCCUGAAAGCA
rnacentral:misc_RNA from 1 species